rnacentral:lncRNA from 1 species
AACAAUUGGCCAAGCUUAUGUUCACAACAACAACUUUCAACAAGUUCAAGCUCAAGUUUAGAUCUAGACUCAAAGUGUUAGGCUCAAGUUUAGAUCUAGACUCAAAGUGUUAGUGGACAAGAAAACUAACACUAGAAACAACAAAACAAACAAGAACACUACUAGAUCUAGACAUACAACAAACAAAUAUCGGCCAAGACAUAACAAGAACACAAUUUUGGCCAAGAACACAAACACGGA